UAAGAGAUGAGGUGUAAAGGUGUCUUGUGUUGAACAGAUGUACAGCUUAAUUAUUAUUGAGUGAGUGCUCAGAGAAGGUGAAAAGCCUGUUUGGUUGUGUCAAUCUGUUUAACCGAGAUACUGACGAGUCUAGUUGUUUGAGAGUACAACUUAAAGUUGGUGGUAAAUUUCAUCAAAGGCUAAAUAUAUGAGGGGACUAAUAGCGAACAAGUACCAUGAGGGAAAGUUGAAAAGAACUCUGACGAGAGAGUCAAACAGUACGUGAAACCAUAUUGAGUAAAACAGAUAACUGUGUUGUUAUGUGGUGUGCCUAUCAACAGCGUAUCUGGCGUUGUGAUGCUACGAGUGUAAGCUGUCUAUUCAGCCGAUUGCUCGUGGUUAGCAUAGUCAGAGCUUCUGUGUACUAGUGCGCACUCAAUCAUUGAGAAACUAUGCUGUUGCGGCAUCGGUGUGUAUCAGUCCGUACCUAGUGCGAAGUUACAUGCUGGGCUCUGCGAACGGCGUAGUGUAGCUGUGUGACAGCUGUGAGAUGCGUUUACUGAAUGUGCCUGCUUUGUCUGCGAAUCGGUUUAUUCCUUUUUGCGGUGAGUACGGUGCAGUAGGUAAGUGUCUCGCCAUCAAUGUUAACAUUAGUUAUUUGACCCGUCUUGAAACACGGACCAAGGAGUUCAAAUGGCACGCGAGUCAUUGGGUUUUGGCACCCGAAGGCGAAGUGAAAUGCAAACGUAUUGUUAUUUGUGGUUGUUCCAUAAUUAAGCGAUAAGCUACUCAUGCU
rnacentral:rRNA from 1 species